rnacentral:rRNA from 1 species
UACGGGGGGUGGCUAGCGUUGUUCGGAAUUACUGGGCGUAAAGCGCACGUAGGCGGCCACUCAAGUCAGAGGUGAAAGCCCAGGGCUCAACCUUGGAAUUGCCUUUGAAACUCGGUGGCUUGAACAUAGGAGAGGCGAGUGGAAUUCCGAGUGUAGAGGUGAAAUUCGUAGAUAUUCGGAAGAACACCAGUGGCGAAGGCGACUCGCUGGACUAUUGUUGACGCUGAGGUGCGAAAGCGUGGGGAGCAAACAGG